CGAAAUGCGAUAAGUAAUGUGAAUUGCAGAAUUCAGUGAAUCAUCGAAUCUUUGAACGCACCUUGCGCUCCUUGGUAUUCCUUGGAGCAUGCCUGUUUGAGUAUCAUGAAAUCUUCAAAGUAAAUCUUUUGUUAACUCAAUUGGUUUCUACUUUGGUAUUGGAGGUCUUUGCAGCUUCACACCUGCUCCUCUUUGUUCAUUAGCUGGAUCUCAGUGUUAUGCUUGGUUCCACUCGGCGUGAUAAGUUAUCUAUCGCUGAGGACACUGUAAAAGGUGGCCAAGGUAAAUGCAGAUGAACCGCUUCUAAUAGUCCAUUGACUUGGACAAUACUUUUAUGAUCUGAUCUCAAAUCAGGUAGGACUACCCGCUGAACUUAAGA
rnacentral:misc_RNA from 1 species